CUUGUUUAUAUAGCAAACAGUUUUAUAAAGAUUUCACAUUUAUUUCUUUUUCCAAACUGCUAUUUUGACUAACUGUAAUAGAAAGUCAUUUGCCUUACAGCCAUCAAAUGAAAAGCCGAAAUGCCCAGAACUACCACCAUUUCCAUCAUGUUUGUCUACGGUCCACUUCAUUAUAUUUGUUGUGGUGCAAACUGUAUUAUUCAUUGGUUAUAUCAUGUAUAGGUCUCAGCAAGAAGCAGCUGCCAAAAAAUUCUUUUGACUACCAUUUUCCUGUGUACUUCAUCUAUUUGUGUACAAAAUGAUGUCGUUUUGAGGGAAUUUAAGUAUUUAAAUUGCUUCAUAGUCUAAAUUAUUAAUUUUUUUAAUAAAAUAACUUUAAACAUUGAUUUGCAGUUAAGAAUAAACCUUAAAGCAAAGACAACCACAUUUUAAUUUGUUCACAGUAUGUAAAUCUGUCUAAAUUUCAGUGAAUUUCUGGUCAGUAUGAUGCAGCCUCUGAGCAGAAUAUUGACCAGUAAGAGGAUAAAUAAAGUGGGGGCAACCCCUGGAUAUGAAUGUUACCCCCUAAGUCUCC
rnacentral:sRNA from 1 species